UUGCCAAGCAUCCUGAGAGCCUGUGGUCACCAUCUACAAUCUUCUGAUGGCUUCCCCAGAAAGUCAAUGAAGACUUAUUUUAACAGUAAUUUGUUCAUAAUUGUUGACUAUUUAGACUUUACUGGGCUUGGACCUUGAGAGGCUGAACUACUGACUACGUGAACUUGGAUUUCAUUCCUCCUGGAGCUGGGAGAAUACCUUGUGACAUCAGAAAAAGAGCAAGGGAAUUGAGAAGCAGGCCAAUGUGCAGUCUUGUGUAAACUGCUGUGAUGGAAUGUUUACUAGAUCCCAGGAAGAUGGAGAGGGAAAGAAGACUCUCACAAAUAGAAAUCCUUCAUCCAGGGGAAACUCUUUUAGGGCUUGGGACCAAAUUAUCUGAAGCAUCAUCAGUUUGUGUAUACACUUGCCAUUAUACUCAUCUUCAUCAUUGGCCAAAACCUGCUUUCCUAUCCUGCAGCUGUAAAUAAAGUAAGCUGGAAGAAAGCUU